GAUGAACGCUAGCGGCAGGCUUAAUACAUGCAAGUCGAGGGGCAGCAUGAUUGUAGCAAUACAAUUGAUGGCGACCGGCAAACGGGUGCGGAACACGUACACAACCUUCCAAUAAGUGGGGAAUAGCCCAGAGAAAUUUGGAUUAAUACCCCGUAACAUAACGAUGUGGCAUCACAUUGUUAUUAUAGAUUUUUCGCUUAUUGAUGGGUGUGCGGCGGAUUAGGAAGUUGGCGGGGUAACGGCCCACCAAGUCUACGAUCAGUAGCUGAUGUGAGAGCAUGAUCAGCCAAACGGGCACUGAGACACGGGCCCGACUCCUACGGGAGGCAGCAGUAAGGAAUAUUGGUCAAUGGAGGGAACUCUGAACCAGCCACGCCGCGUGCAGGAAGACUGCCCUAUGGGUUGUAAACUGCUUUUAUCCGGGAAUAAACCUGAGUACGUGUACUUAGCUGAAUGUACCGGAAGAAUAAGGAUCGGCUAACUCCGUGCCAGCCGCCGCCGUAAGAC
rnacentral:rRNA from 1 species